rnacentral:sRNA from 1 species
AUCAUUGUCAUCGUCAUCAUCAUCAUCAUCAGUGGUAUUUGGUUUUACUCUAGCUUUCUGGGAUAUCUAGUUUCUGGUUCUUGGUCACUUAGGCAGUGUUGGGUAUGGACUCCAUGUUAAUGAGUGGUCCUUAAGUCAGAUAUUGGUUGGCUACUCCCACAAGUUCUGUGACACCAUUGUCCUAGCAUAUUUUGCAGGCAGGACAGAUUGUAGGUCAAAAGUUUUGUGGGUGGUUUGGUAUUUACAUUUCCUUUUUGGUAACCUUUCCAAACCAAAGACAUUAGAACAUACAGGUGAAGGCUCCUUGUAGGUACCAACUGGACUUCUCCAUGUUUAGUGAACUUCAUGGCUGUUGUCCUCAGCAGUGGUGCCCUGCUGUCAGUUUGCAGAGAGCAACCUGUUGUCUUAACAACAGCCUUGGUUGUUAGGAGGAUUUUCAUUUGACCCGCACUUGGCCAACAAUUCAACUGAAUGCAACCCAGUCCCAAUACUGGAAGGAAGCCUUGUUUGGUAACAAGAGGUGGCCAUAUUGAGACUCUGCAUCCCCCAUUAAUUACAACGCCUCACUAAGAUCACCUUCAUAUAUUUUUAGGAAGUUUCUACUGUACUAGGUUUCCAUUAUCAUCUCUCAAAAUGCCCUUCAAUUCUAGCUGUCUCCGUCCACAUUCUUUUUCUUUACAGUAUUUACCUUUUCCCUCCUCACCUGAUCUUCCUGUUUUCUUCCCACUUGUCCCCAGUCUGCUUAUAAAAUCAAUUCUAUUGCUUUUGGGAAUCCACAUCUUCACCCUAGACCCUUCUUCUAUACCUAACCUCUCUCGGUCUAUGGAUUGUUGCUAGUCACUGUUGCUUCUUCAAGAAAUGUCUUAGGAGAUUACAGGUUCUACAUGCCAAUUGCUGCUUAAGCCUCACAUGGUCUGGCCAGGUUCCUGAAUCAGCAAAUGACAUAGCAUAGACAUCUUGUUCUAUGAGUUUUGGCCUCAGUCUGCAGAACUUAUGAUUGAUGGUGAGAUGAUAGGCCUGGAGCCUGAUCCCUGAAGACUAGUGCUGAGGUAGUUAGAGUAAGGCCAGCCUUAGUCUAUGAGAUCUGUUUGAAGUAGUGGCUGUGGUCAUAAGCCUAGUACAUCAGUGCCUCUAGCUUAAUUGUAAAAUUCCAGCACCUAAAAUAAGCCCACAUCAACAUGAGAGAGAUGCCCAUCAAGUUAAUGUCACUUCUGAAGUAAACAUUGCUUGAAUUCUUUUUAUGGGUAAAACACUACUUGUAUAAACCACUAGAAGUCAGCUUCACUAAUUAGAUAUUUAAGAUGUAUUGCUCUGUGUGUGUGUGUGUGUGUGUGUGUGUGUGUGUGUGUGUGUGUGUCUGUGUGUCUGUGUGUGUCUGUGUGUCUGUGUGUUUUCUGGCACCUUUUCAGAUGAGCCUACUUCUGGAUGUGCCUUGUCAGAUGAAUUUCAUCAGAUGAACCCAUUGAGUAAGCUCUUUGCUGUUGUAAAGUUCAAGUGAAAGGAGUUAAUUGACUGUAAUUAUGUUUCAGUCUUCAUUACCCUUAGGAUAACUGUGAAGAAUUUUGAGUUUUUACUUUUUAAAUACCAUGAACAUUCUAUUUUCUUUCUUUUUCUUUCUUUUUAACAGACUCCAAGAAUUGAAGGUUUUUAUGAUACGAUGAAACUAAGUAAGGUUUGCUUUUCUUGGGUUAGAUGAUACAACUUGUAGAAACUCUGUUAAUUCCAUGUUGAUUUUGAUAGACCUUUUUAUUUUCAUUUUAUUUGUUUUGUUUCUUGUUGUCUAGACAUAAAAGUGUCUUGGGUUGCUCCGAAGAUCCUAGUCUUCCUGGAAGCUUGUCCCCUACAUUUUUAUAGUUAUAAGUAAUAAAAUUGAACAGGAAAGCACAUUUGGGAAAUCGAUUAAUUUUAACCAGGAAAUAAACACUGCCAAAAAUAAAAAUGUAAUUUCAAUCUUAUGAAAUAUUUCAGAGUUUAACACCAUCAUUUUGUUCUUUAUACCUUACUUUUUAGGAGAAAGGAGAAACAAUACAAACGCAAGUGGAAAGAUUGUUACUGUUGCUUGCAAUCCUGAUUACUGUGUUAAAAUUAAAUAGUUUCUUUUAGAUUUAUAACUGGAAAACUUCAUUUUCAGUACCUGAUAUCCCUUACAUUGUACAAAUGUUGAAGUAUAGUUGUGGGCAUAUAUUUCAUUUGUAUAUGUACUUAGGAAUUUUUAAUGACUGGCUAAAAGACAGUGGGUUUUUUGUUUGUUGUUUUUUGUUUUGCAUGUGUUUUAAUGAGUAGGAGAGAGACCUACAUAAUUCUGGCAUUACAGUGGAACUAAAACUCAGGCUUGUUUUUAGGGAAGUUUCAUUGACAGCCAUCUUUAUGGCCUAGAAAACUCUGCAUGUGGUUGUGUGGUGUGGUGUGGUGUUUGUUUAUUUAUUUUUACCUUUUUCAUUAAUAUCUAAGCAUAUUUUCUGAUCCCUUUUAAAGAAGCAUCUGGAGAUUCUGUGUUUUUUUUCCCCCGAGAUCUUAGAAGGGUUUUUGUUUGUUUGUUUUUCUUGUUUUUUGUUUUUUUGACAAGUGUGUGUAUUUUAAUGUUACAGAGUUAAGGUUGGCCCAGUAAGAACUUUGGAACAGGUAGUAAACCACUGUCUGUCUCUUAAACUUAUGCUAGCACUUAUUAGCACAAAAUAACAAAGCGUGAAGUACUUUUUGUUACAAUAUUUUCUGUAAAAUACCACCUUUAAGAGUACUUUUGUUCCUGACAGUAUAAAACUUGGCUUCUGAUUAAAGGUCAGCAAUCCUUUUGGAGUUGACACUAUUUUCUCAGUAACUGCCCCAGGAUCUGAAGCCCCUUUGUAGGUUUUCAUUCCUUUCGAAACUAGCCUUUUAAAGUAGUUUUUGAAAUUUAUGUAUUGAGUUCUUGGGCUUGUGUGGAUGUGUAAUUAAAAUAUUCUAUUGGAGUGCUUGUCUAGGAAGUCUUGAAAGACAUCGUUUUUCUUGUGGAAUUUCUUUCACUUAUCUGCUUAUCUGACAGCAGCUGUUUCUUCUAACUGUAUUAACAUUAAAAAAAAUUUUUUUAAGCCACUUUAAGCAGAACAGAGACAGAAAAGAAAGGACCCAGCCGUAGAGUAUCCAGUUAGGUUUGUUAAAGCUUUCUGCUAAGUAAGGUGACUCUAACUUACUAAGACAGUCCUAGAUACUUAACAUAGUGCUAUUCGUUGAAAGAUGAACUAUUUAAAGCUAAUACUGUCUGAAGUCAAGGUGGUAGUCAGCCAGUUGCAGCAUUUUAGGAUCUCAUGCUGGUGUCAAUCCUUCUUGUACACUCUCUUUCCACAACGCCCUUCUGUGCUUUAAGACAUUUUCUCCCUGCAAAAGCAAGUUGUAAAGACUUAUAUUAAAAUUAUUUUUAUGUUUUUUUUAGCACAUAGAAAGGGCUAUAAUAUUCAAGUGCUAAAGUCAAAAGAUGACAUUGGCUUGCCUUUAGUUUAAGGAUUGUAGUGAUUAUAACAAAGAAACAACACUAAGAAGCCCUAAGAGUGAUGAAUAAUUAUUACAGUUAAGGAUUACUUGUGAAAUUACAAAUGUAGUCAGGUUUUUAUUUUUUGCCACUGCUUCUUUAGAACAUAAUGGUGAUUGUCUCUCAGAUGUCUAAAUAUGGGACACUUAGUAAAUCCUGUAUUCCAGCAAAUGUAAUUAAAUGUAAUAUCCUUAAGUCUCAUAAUGAAUGAGGCAUUAUUUUUAUUUUAUAAAUUAGACAUUUAAAGAGAUAGAAUAAAUGAUGCAAAAUCACAGUGAGUAAUGAUCAGAUUUGAACUUAUUUUUCACCAUUCUGAAUUUUAGAAAAUGAUAUGCUUAAAAGACAUGAAACUUUUUAAAAAGAAACAAAAGACGGAAUUGUGAAUGUGUAUUCAACCCCAGUGCUGGCAGUGACUACUUUUAAGACAGGAAUACAGAUAAUUUAAUUUAUAUUCUUUCAUAAUUUGACUAUUCUUAUGUAAACUAUCUUCAUAGUCAGUCAAGAAAGUGGACAUUAUUAUAUUUUUUAACAUUCUGAUAUCUUUAAGUAAAUCUUAUAUAUGCAGUUUUCAAUGAUAAGUUUUAAGGUGGUUAUUACUAGAGUUAAAACAAGUAUUUACUUAGACUAAGACUGUAUAUCUUUGAGGUUACUUUUCAGCUUUUGUUUUGCAGAGUAUAGAUUUAUGAGGAUAUUGUACCUUUGUGGCUCCUAGGACAUAUAAAAGAUAAUUCUUAAAAAGUGACUGCAUUUCUUUCACUUGUUUCAAUCAUAAUACAAGUUGGGAAGAAUAUUAAGGCAUCAUAGUUGUAGUAAUUAUUAGGGGUAGGAUGAGGGUAGUUUUAUAUUUUUACUGAUAGGUUUGGGUUAUAGAUCUCUGUUCACUGUAUCAUUUCCCAUGAUAAUCUGAAUUAAUCAUAUGCAUACCCAAUUAUGACUAGGCAUCAAAUGAAUAAUGGGAUUUUCCUUAAAAUUCAUUUAAAGGGCAGACUGAGGUUUCCUUUUACAUCCAAAACAGGUUUUGACUCGUAUACAUACUGAUCCUUGUUCCUGUUUAUACCACAGGUUGUAUUGGCCUUUUAUAAGGGGGAGUCACUAAGUAUUGUUAGGGACCUAGAAGUUGGAGUGACACAUUGUCAAAAGUCUUUCUGAAAAGCAAAAAUUUAGAGAAUAUAUUGAAUACAAAAUUUUCCUAUAGAUUAUUGAGUUGUAUUUUGAGAGACACUUUAUCGACAGACGGAAACAUCCUCCCUAUUCAUUUGGGGGAAUAGAAUUGAAAUUUUUUAAGCUCAUUUAUUUCAAGGCAUGCUCUUUUCUAUUCUCCUUUAAAAUUUUUUUAACUGUUUAUGUGCUAAAUUGGCAUAAGUUUGUGUUCUGCCAUCUGCUAGGAUACUUAAUAUACCAUGUGCUUUAAAGAAUAUGCUUGUGCUCCUAGAAUAUGCUCAUAUAGUGUGUUCUUGCUGUAUAUAUAUAACUGCAGAGCCAAAAGUGAAUGGCUCACAGGAUUUCAGAAUACGCUAUCAUUUUCGUUCUUGCAUGUUAAAGAAGUUGCUUCUCUGACUUCCAUAUCUGCAGUGCUGCAUGCCAUACUCCAUAGGAUUUUCUCCCUGUCAAGAGUAUUCAUGUGAGAAGAUACAUGCACAUAUACAUGUAUUUCACUGGCAAAGCAUUAAAUUGAAGAGCACUCUGAUGAGAUAGCUUUUGGUGCCUUGUUAUCAGAUUAACUGAAUUAAGUUCUUAAAUCCUCUGUACUUUGUGAUCCCUUUUUCAUUUUUUACUACCAUUUUUAAAAAUUUACCCAGAAAAUUUUUAUGGAAGAUAAGGCUAUUAAAAAGUGACAUCUUUCCAGCUUACUGUUUAAAAAAAUUAGAAAGUUCAAAAAUUGAUUAUGCCAAUAUUCAUAUUCUUAGAGAAAGGUAAAGCAUAUGUGGGAAUUACUAAAGCUGGUUAAUUGUUCAGAGUAUAGAUCUUUGUGUGUACUUGAUCAUCUUUUGUUUGAAUUAUUUUAUUUGAAUGUUUUCAGAAUACAAAUUGUAAAGAACAAAUCAAAGAAAUUGGAAUGUCCAAGUAGGAAUUGCACAUCAGGGUGUAAUAGCUCUGUUGUACUUCUGCCAAAUGCACACUAUUUUAUACUAAUCACUGUUGCCUCUGGUAAACAAUAAGUAUGAUUCUGCCUGUCAUUGGUUGAUGGUUCAAGGUUAUAGGCUCAGGUACACUAAUAUCAAGGUAUUUGUAAUUCAUAAAAUCAGAAAUCAGCUAACUGGGUGGGAGGAGGCAAAAUAAGUUCAUUGAAUAUUGUUUAAUGAGUUUCCCAUGGUGUCUUAGUCAUGUUGACUAAGCAACUCAUAAAAAAGAAAACAUUUAAUUGUGGGCUUGCUUGCACUUCAGAGUUAGUUCAUUUUCAUAGGGAGAGCAUGGCUGUACCUCCAGAUCCAUAGGCAGCAGGAAGAGAGACUGGACCCAGCAUGGGCUUUCCAUGAUAUACUUCUUCCAACAAGGCCACACCUACUCCCAACAUAACCACAACUUCUAAUCCUUUUCAAAUAGUGCCACUCCCUUGGUGACUAAGCAUUCAGAUAUAUGAGCUUAUGUAGCCCAUUAUAUUUCAAAUCAGAAAGCAUAAGGCACAGGUAUAACCAGGCUCCGACAGCUAUGUCUUUGCCUUUAUUGGAGCUUUUACUGAUCUCAGCAAAUACUGCCCAAACAUGGGAAACAUUGCUUUGUUUUGUUGAAAUAUGGUAUACAGAUCAGCAGAGUGUGGCAUACUGUAGGAAGGCUAGGAGUCAGAUCACCCGCCUCUCUGAGCUUAAUGAUACAGCAGAUAAACUUCUUAUUUUGGUAGCACUAAAAGUGAGGAAAUGGAAAGCUAGUUUUAUAGAUCAAAAACCCAAAAUAUUUACACAUUUCAAGUUUCUUUUUUAUUUUACCAACCCCAUCCCCUUGCACUUUGUUUCAUGAGUAAAUCUUGUAGAUUUCCUGAAGUGCAGAUCAGCUAUGUUUAUAUUAAAAGCUUCUAAAGACUUAUCAAUAUGUUCGAAACCUAUUGGUCUCCUUUAUUUAGCUUUAGAGUUCUCUGUGACUUCAUCAUUUCCGUUUUCUUCCAUCUGAGCCCUUUCCUCUUUCCCUGUCCUGUUCUUCCUUCCUUCUUUCUUCUCUCUGUACCUCCCGUCCUCUCUCCUUCCCUUUUUUGUUUUCACAUCUCACCUCUUAUCCAAGAGUUGGCUUUCAAAUUAUCUUCCAGCUGGAAUUAAUAUUUUCUUUUUGGGAGCUCUUGAAGCUUCUUUCUGUUUUGUCUUUUAGUGUACUUACUUAGUGCCCUUUCUAUGGGACAUAGGGACACACACACACACACACACACACACACACACGCACACACACACACGCACACGCACGCACAUGCACUCGCAGUUCCUUCUUUUUCAAACUUUGUACUUACGUCUUACUCUCUUGUUUUCUUUGUACUUUAUCUAGUUCAAUAGCCUUUGCCCCAAAUUGCAUUUAUAUGUAAAUUUAUAAAGAAUAUUUUGUUCAGGGGUGGUGAUACAUGUCUUUAAUUUCAGCAGUCUCAAGGCAUAGGCAGAGGGAGGCUGAUCUCUAUGGGCUCCAACCUAGCUUGGUCUACAUAGUGAGUUCCAGAAUAGCCAGGCUUUAUGGUGAUACCUCCCUCCUAGUCCCCUGCAAACACUCAGCUCUGUUUCAGAGAUAUUUCUUAGGUGAGAAGAGAAGCAGGUUUGAAGAUACUUUAACUAUAUUCCAAAGGCAAAGAUCUCAAGGAUUUACAAAACUAUACCUUAAAAUCACUUUGUUAAUUUUUUAAAAAAAUAUUAAAAAUUGUUUUAUUUUGUGCAGUGUCAGGGUUCUGAGUCAAGUGGGUCAAUCGAAGAGAGGAUCACUCAAAUGUAUGGCAGCAGGAAGGAAUAGUUUAGAUGAACUGAACCUAGAACACCCUUACAGAAGCAUGUUUAUUGAUUGUUACACAAAAGUUGGUUUUGUUGUUGUCAUCAUCAUCUUUGUUUGUUUUUUGUUUUUGUUUUUGGAUUAAAAAAAGUUCCUCAUACAAAAGUCCAUAACUUUAGUCUUCAUUGUACACUGUUUGCAGUACUCAAUAAUGCAAGACAUUCCAGGUGUGCCAGGACUCUUAUGACCGCAGUCAUGCAAAGGUUGUAAAGCUCCUUUAGAAAAACAACUCCAGGGCUGGAGAGAUGGCUCAGUGGUUAAGAGCACUGACUGCUCUUCCAGAGGAUCUGAGUUCAAUUCCCAGCAUCCACGUGGUGGCUCACAACCAUCUGUAAUGAGAUCUGAUGCCCUCUUCUGGCCUGCAGGCAUGCAUGCAGGCAGAACACUGUAUGCAUAAUAAAUAAAUAAUUUAAAAAAAAAAAAAAGAAAAACAACUCCAUAUAAAACAAAACACUAAUCACUGUUCUCUAUAGAGAUUUCUUCAAGGUCAGUGUACUUUCAGGAAACAACUGUUUAUUCUCAUGUCUACCCUACAUACACUGACAAAAAACUAUUUCAUUCUAUGUUUACCCUACACAUAAUGAUUCUACUACAAUCCCACUAUACAUUUCCUUUCUCCAUUCUGGAUAUAGAGAAAACAGGCCACACAAUUACAGAAAUGUACUGGUGUAUGAAGUGCAGUCCUGCACCGUAUCAUUUUGAGCUCUUGCAAGUUCUUAGUACCUGUAACACAGCUGCUUUCCUUUCCUUUGCCUCAGUAAAGCCUGCCUCAUGAAUAGUUGUGGGGAGUUCUCUGCCAGCUGAAACAUUUAUGAGAUGUGAAACCCACACUGUCACUUGUCUGUGUGACUUUGGGCAGUUUUUUUACUUCAGAACAUGGAUACUUGCUUACUAACUCAAACUAAUUUUCCACAAAUGGGACAAACUUUAAAAAGACAUCUAAAAGGUUUAGUAGUAAUUAUAUAACAAGCAGAAAUUAAAUUUUCUUUAGUUUUUUUUAUACAGUAUGUAACUAUUAAGUGCUGCUAAUUUACCUCUUGUAAUUCUUGAAUUUUUAAGGAUCUUAUUCUGUAACAGGUUAGUCUCCUAUUGCUCCUAUUUUAUUAAUCCUAUGUUCCAUUUUUCUUAGUUUUCUGUCCUAUGAAGUGUUUUAUUUUACAACAAGGUAUUCAGAAAAGUGCACAUAUCCUAGGGAUAACCAACAGCCAUCUGAUUCUAUUUAAGACCUAUUGAUUAGGAAGGAAUUCAGACCUGGUAUUUAUAAAUGUAGCCUACUACCUAUGACUAGUGAGACCAGAAGAGAGCCUACUAACAUUUUCCAAAACCAAUGUAAAUUCUGAAUAUUUACCCACAGGUAAAUAAAACUCAAAUCCCCCAUCAAGGAAUCUUCAUUUUGCAGGAGAAGGAAACCUUUACAGAAAUCCAUAACUUACCAAAAUGCCGAUAGCAUUUCAUUAUGGGGUGCCCAGUUACAACAACAAAACUAUCACCUAAGAUACAGGGCAAUUUUGGAAGAGAGAGCAGAAUAAUGCUAAGAGAUGGAGAAUUAGACUGUUAUGAUAUAAUCCCCCUGAUAGGUUAUCUAAUCCUAAAUGAUCAGCCUUAAACAUGUAUGAAUUUACCACCAAAUGAA